AUAAGAAUGGAGUAUUGAAAGUAAGGUAUUGAAAGGGAAGGAUAUCGACAAAAAUAGAGUAUUGAAGGUAGUGUAUUGACAGUAAGGUAUUGAAAGGAAAGGAUAUCAACAAAAACAGGGUAUUGAAGGCAGGGUAUUGAGAAGGAAGGAUAUCGACGGGGACAUUGUAUGGACGGAUAAGGUAUUGAUGAAGACAGAGUAUCAGGGAGAGAUUGUAUCUAGGCAGCAAGGUAUCAAUGAAGGCAAAGUAUCUAAAGGCAGAAUAUCAAAACCAAAGAUACUAAAGGGGGGAAAU
rnacentral:lncRNA from 1 species